AGAUUUCGGGAUUAAACCCCACAGUGGUAUAAAAGGACCAUGAUUCGGACUCUCUUCAGUAACACUUUCAGGGUUAAGCUCUCUCUUUGCAUAAUUCUUGCUGUUUAAUAGAGUAAGAUGGCACGUGCGGAACAAUGGAUACUUUCAGUUCUGUUGAAGAAGAAUGAAGCAGCAUACAUCAUGAAUCACGCACAUUGUGUUCACUGAUUACCUCAUUGACUCUCAUGCACAGAGUUUUGAGAAGUUAAACGGUUUUAUCAAACAGCAGAAUCCUGACCAAUUAUAAAUUCACUUCAUUCUAAUACCGUCCAGUGCUCUGGAAUAUCUUACAAAAAGUGAACAACUUUCCUAUCAACCACUUU